rnacentral:rRNA from 1 species
GACGAACGCUGGCGGCGUGCUUAACACAUGCAAGUCGAGCGGUAAGGCCCUUUCGGGGGUACACGAGCGGCGAACGGGUGAGUAACACGUGGGUGACCUGCCUUUAGCUCUGGGAUAAGCCUGGGGAAACCGGGUCUAAUACCGGAUAUGACUCCGCGGCGCAUGUUGUGGGGUGGAAAGCCUUGUGCGGCUGGAGAUGGGCCCGCGGCCUAUCAGCUUGUUGGUGGGGUGAUGGCCUACCAAGGCGACGACGGGUAGCCGGCCUGAGAGGGCGACCGGCCACACUGGGACUGAGACACGGCCCAGACUCCUACGGGAGGCAGCAGUGGGGAAUCUUGCGCAAUGGGCGAAAGCCUGACGCAGCGACGCCGCGUGAGGGAUGACGGCCU